AUUAGUCGGCGGACGGGUGAGUAAUGCCUAGGAAUCUGCCUGGUAGUGGGGGACAACGUUUCGAAAGGAACGAAUACCGCAUACGUCCUACGGGAGAAAGCAGGGGACCUUCGGGUUGCGCUAUCAGAUGAGCCUAGGUCGGAUUAGCUAGUUGGUGAGGUAAUGGCUCACCAAGGCGACGAUCCGUAACUGGUCUGAGAGGAUGAUCAGUCACACGAACUGAGACGGUACCAGUACGGUCCAGACUCCUACGGGAGGCAGCAGUGGGGAAUAUUGGACAAUGGGCGAAAGCCUGAUCCAGCCAUGCCGGUGAAGAAGGUCUUCGGAUUGUAAAGCACUUUAAGUUGGGAAGCCAGUCGGUGUAGAGGUACGUUUAAUACUCUGCAUUUUGACGUUACCGACAGAAUAAGCACCGGCUAACUCUGUGCCAGCAGCCGCGGUAAUACAGAGGGUGCAAGCGUUAAUCGGAAUUACUGGGCGUAAAGCGCGCGUAGGUGGUUCGUUAAGUUGGAUGUGAACCCGGGCUCAACCUGGGAACUGCAUCCAAAACUGGCGAGCUAGAGUAUGGUAGAGGGUGGUGGAAUUUCGUGUGUAGCGGUGAAAUGCGUAGAUAUAGGAAGGAACACCAGAUUAGUCCUGAAGGCGACCACCUGAGGUCAGACUGAUACUGACACUGAGGUGCGAAAGCGUGGGGAGCAAACAGGAUUAGAUACCCUAGUCCACGCCGUAAACGAUGUCAACUAGCCGUUGACCAGUAGCCUUGAGCUCUUAGUGGCGCAGCUAACGCAUUAAGUUGACCGCCUGGGGAGGCCGCAAGGUUAAAACUCAAAUGAAUUGACGGGGGCCCGCACAAGCGGUGGAGCAUGUGGUUUAAUUCGAAGCGCGAAGAACCUUACCAGGCCUUGACAUCCAAUGAACGGGACUUUUUCCAGAGAUGGAUUGGUGCCUUCGGGAACAUUGAGACAGGUGCUGCAUGGCUGUCGUCAGCUCGUCGUGAGAUGUUGGGUUAAGUCCCGUAACGAGCGCAACCCUUGUCCUUAGUUACCAGCACGUAAUGGUGCUCUAAGGAGACUGCCGGUGACAAACCGGAGGAAAGGAUCAGUGGUGGGGAUGACGUCAAGUCAUCAUGGCCCUUACGGCCUGGGCUACACGGUACGAUCAACGUGCUACAAUGGUCGGUACAAAGGGUUGCCAAGCCGCGAGGUGGAGCUCCCAUAAAACCGAUCGUAGGAUCGCAGUCUGCAACGGGUACGUUCGACUGCGUGAAGUCGGAAUCGCUAGUUUAGUUACAGU
rnacentral:rRNA from 1 species